UCCCACCCCCGCCCCCUCAUUUCGAGUGAUCCGCGGCGCCGUCAACAAAGACGACAGCUCAUGGCGACGGCGGAGGAGGGCGGCAAUGGACUGGAGUUCCUAUCAGAUCCGGUGGACAGGUUCCCCUUGCCGGAUCUUGCAUCCAGCGAUUUGACGCCCACCGGUGAGCCAGAUACUGGUCUCACCCAAUCAGCUGCUGAAUCGAGUAUGGGAUAUGUUGGCGACUUGCCGCUUACAAUCCAAUUGCCCAUGAACAACGGCUGCGAAGAACUGAGCUUGUCGGCGGCCGAUUCACAGCAAUCAACAGGAAAGGAUGACCCUCAAGCCCCCGGGUGGACAAAAAGGGAAAAGAAGGCAACCGUUAACAGUUAGAAAUAAUUCAUUCUUACUGAUGCAAGGUUUGUAUUGGGCGAGCCCCUAUCGAGCAUGCACCUUGUGCUGGAAGAGUAUGUGCCCUUCAAAAAACCUUAAGAGGAUACGCAGAGAAGAAAACUGAUACCGUAUGAAGCAGGACAAUACAGAGUAGAAGUUGAAAAAGGUUCAAAAUAUUAUGUACACCGGUACCACCCAGAGAGACAUGACAAGUGGUGCAGAGUAGUGUACAUAGUGCACGUUCUUGCUGAGGGUGAAGAACUCUCAUGGGAAUGUGGUAACUUCGAGCUCACAGGAUUGCUAUGCUGCCAUUCAGUUAAGGUUCUUGAUUUCUUGGGUAUAGAGAAAAUUCCAUGAAAGCAUAUCCUCAAAAGGUGGACAAAAGAUGCAAGAGAUAUCCUUCCAGCUCACUUGGCACACCUGCAAGAUUUCAGCUAACUUCAUAACGUUCAGACAUUCAAAUCUGUAUACACAUGCUUUAGAGGUUGUAAAGCUUGGUGAUGCAAAUCCAAUUGCAUAUAAUUGCGCAAUGGAACUUCUUAGGGCAGCAAUGGAUAAACUGACCCCUUUAGCUUCUGAGCAUGAUGGUCUGGGUUUGGAACACAGAACUGAAUUCAAGAGGGCAAAAGUUACAGAAUUAAGUCUCUUGCAAGGACCAGAAAAUGGAUGCAUGAGCGACGAUGAAGGUAGCGCCGUCGGAAAUUACAUUGGAUUAUCAGCUCCAGAACGCAAACGCAAAGCCGGUCGACCAACGAACGCAGAGACAAGCCUCCAUAUGAUGACCGGUCUGCAAAGAGCAAAAAAGUUAAGGUUGCAUCACAACUUGAUACAGUUAUCGGAUGCAGUACAAGCAAGCCAACACGAUUCUGCACUAUAUGUUGUGGCCCUGGUCAUAAGAGCACGACGUGUCCACAAAGAGGGGACACCCCUCAAAAGAAAAGGAAAGAAGCGAAAUGCUCAAUCUGCGGAGUGGGAGGGCAUCGAAAGAACACCUGUAGCAAUCCUAAGAUUGUGGUACAUGUUGCCGAGCAACCAGCUCAUUAUCCUGCUAUCGAAGCAUCUUUCCCCUGCAUCCUGACUGCUCACUGCCAGCCUCCUUAUAUACAUUAUGUAUUGUCAGAUUAGUAAUAUGUAUUUGUCUGAACCUUGAGCUGUCUGGAUGUGUUGUUUAAAACUAAUUUCAUGCUGCUAUAACAAAUAUCUCAUAUUAAUGUCCGUGUGCUACUGAUGACAUAUUCAUCUACUAUC
rnacentral:rRNA from 1 species